GACGGUCUAGCUUACGGGUAGAGCGCAUGCUUAGCAUACAUGAGGUCCUGGGUUCAAUCCCCAGUGCCUCCA
rnacentral:tRNA from 1 species